rnacentral:misc_RNA from 1 species
CCGAGUGCGGGUCCUCGCGGCCCAACCUCCCACCCUUGUCCUCUAUACACCUGUUGCUUUGGGCGGGCCCCACUGGGGCCACCUGGUCCGCCGGGGGACGCAUGUCCCCCGGGCCCGCGCCCCGCCGAAGCGCUCUGUGAACCCUGAUGAAGAUGGGCUGUCCUGAGUACCAUGAAAAAUUGUCAA